GGAGGGGUGGCAGAGUGGUUGAUCGCGACAGUCUUGAAAACUGUUGACCUUUUACGAGGUCCGGGAGUUCGAAUCUCUCCCCCUCCG
rnacentral:tRNA from 1 species